rnacentral:rRNA from 1 species
ACGAACGCUGGCGGCAGGCCUAACACAUGCAAGUCGAGCGGACAUCUUCGGAUGUUAGCGGCGGACGGGUGAGUAACGCGUGGGAACGUGCCCUUUGCUUCGGAAUAGCCUCGGGAAACUGGGAGUAAUACCGGAUGUACCCUUUGGGGGAAAGAUUUAUCGGCAAAGGAUCGGCCCGCGUUGGAUUAGGUAGUUGGUGGGGUAAUGGCCUACCAAGCCGACGAUCCAUAGCUGGUUUGAGAGGAUGAUCAGCCACACUGGGACUGAGACACGGCCCAGACUCCUACGGGAAGCAGCAGUGGGGAAUCUUAGACAAUGGGGGAAACCCUGAUCUAGCCAUGCCGCGUGAGCGAUGAAGGCCUUAGGGUUGUAAAGCUCUUUCACCGGGGAAGAUAAUGACGGUACCCGGAGAAGAAGCCCCGGCUAACUCCGUG